GGCCGAGCUGCAGCCAAUGAGAAGGGGCGGGGGCGGGGCCGGGGCAGAAGGGCAGCCCGCCGGCGCGCGGAAUCCGGAGGAAUUUACUCGGCCCCCCGGAACGCCGACCAAUCGACGGCCCCAGGAGCUCGCUGUGUUUACUACCGACCGAAUCCGUGAGCGCUGUGACCAAUCACCAUUUUCCUUACAACACGCAAAACUGUAUCAAACGCCUUUUAAGGCGGGAUUUAUCACUAAGCGGCUCUAGGUUUGGACUGUGGAAAAGAGACCGUGGGCUGCAGCCAAUCGAGAGCCGUUAUGGUUGAGGUAAUUAAGUCCUAAGGGCAAGAAUGGUGUAUUUUCAUUAUCAUCUCCCAAAGUGCCUUGAUGAAGAUUUUAAAAGAUCUGAAAAAUGAUUGGAGGAAAAUUUGACAGUGUGUAUUAAGGAUUUUUUUUUAAUUUUGUCUUAAUUAUUUUUAGCUUAAAGAACAAAAUGAAGAAGGUAAUAUUUUACAUUUAUUAAAACAUUUACUAUUUCUGA